GUCCUCGCUUUGGCAGCACACAUACUAAAAUUUGAACAAUACAGAGAAGAUUAGCGUGGUCUCUGAGCAAAGAUGAUAUGCAAAUUCAUAAAGUGUUCCAUACUUUU